rnacentral:rRNA from 1 species
UGGGGAAUAUUGGGCAAUGGGCGAAAGCCUGACCCAGCAACGCCGCGUGAGGGAAGAAGGGCUUCGGCUCGUAAACCUCUGUCCUAUGGGACGAAGGAAGUGACGGUACCAUAGGAGGAAGCCCCGGCUAACUACGUGCCAGCAGCCGCGGUAAUACGUAGGGGGCGAGCGUUGUCCGGAAUGAUUGGGCGUAAAGGGCGCGUAGGCGGCCUGAUAAGUCUGGAGUGAAAGUCCUGCUUUCAAGGUGGGAAUUGCUUUGGAUACUGUCGGGCUGGAGUACAGGAGAGGAAAGCGGAAUUACCAGUGUAGCGGUGAAAUGCGUAGAGAUUGGUAGGAACACCAGUGGCGAAGGCGGCUUUCUGGACUGAAACUGACGCUGAGGCGCGAAAGCGUGGGGAGCAAACA